rnacentral:lncRNA from 1 species
CUUGUAAAAGAUAUACUAUUCUUCGUUUCCAAGUUAUUUGGUACUUUUAAAAGAUAUACUAUAUGUAUUCGUUGGUUAUUUAUUUAUUUAUUUAUUUUGUGAUGCCAUCUCUACAGUAAGUUACAUGAGCUGUUAUUUCCACAAGUAGAAUUUUCUUGGUGCGUAAAUUGUGGUUGUACUCCUGCUUUUUUCUUUGGCUGAUUCUUGGAAAAUGAUAAUUAUGAUAUUCUUUCUGCCUGGUUUUCCAUCUACUUCUGCUUUUCCU